rnacentral:rRNA from 1 species
GGGGAAUAUUGGACAAUGGGCGCAAGCCUGAUCCAGCAACGCCGCGUGAAUGAUGAAGGCCUUCGGGUCGUAAAGUUCUUUUGGCAGGGAAGAAAAUGACGGUACCUGCAGAAUAAGCUCCGGCUAACUUCGUGCCAGCAGCCGCGGUAAUACGAAGGGGGCUAGCGUUGUUCGGAAUUACUGGGCGUAAAGGGUGCGUAGGUUGUUAUUCAAGUUAGUGGUGAAAGCCCAGAGCUCAACUCUGGAACUGCCAUUAAAACUGAAUAGCUAGAGAGUGUUAGAGGUGAGUGGAAUUUCUAGUGUAGGAGUGAAAUCCGUAGAUAUUAGAAGGAACAUCAAUGGCGAAGGCAGCUCACUGGGUCACAUCUGACACUGAGGCACGAAAGCGUGGGUAGCAAAC